UACGUAGGGGCGAGCGUUGUCCGGAAUCAUUGGCGUAAAGCGCGUGUAGGCGGCCGGUAAGUCCGCUGUGAAAGUCCAGGGCUCAACCCUGGGAUGCCGGUGGAUACUGUCGGCUCGAGUCCAGAAGAGGCGAGUGGAAUUCCGUGGUGGUAGCGGUGAAAUGCGCAGAUAUCAAGGAGGAACACCAUGGCGAAGGCAGC
rnacentral:rRNA from 1 species